AGAACCAGCCCUUUUCUUACGCAGCUGGGAGCCUUGGGAGGACUACUCAGAUGAUAGGAACCAGUGGUUGAAAAAGAAAGAGAAACAAGAUGAAAGGAUUCGUGACUUUUCUGGGAAGUAUAAAAAGCUAUUUUGUGCCUCUUCUUUAUUUAGUUGCCAAUAGAUUGUUUUAUUUAUCUAUCUUGUUGUGUGAUAAAAUGCGAUAUGGGAGUAAUUGUUUUUCUUGUGUGUGCAUGCAUGUACGUAUUUCUAUUUUGAUGAAGUGCUGACCCUGCUGAUUCAGAAUACCUUUAAGUUUUACAAAGAUUUUGUUUUCUCCUGGCUUCCUCUUGCAUACACAAAGGCAGUAAUAGAGUGUCAUUUAAAUAAUAUGCCUUGGUUAGAACACAGCAAACUAGUUAAGAGAAACAUUUUAGAGGUUGACCUAAAAUACAUUAACUUUGAAAUAAAUAUACAUCUGGUAUAAAGAAUGAAUUUUACCAAAUAUGCAUAUCAGUUAUACCAACAGAUACCAUUUUGGGAAGAUACGUAUUCUGGUUUUAAAAAUAUUUUAGUUUGAGUUCAGUUGUAUUAUAGCUUACAUAAUACUAAUUAGAUGCUGGCUCAGAACUAUGUGUUAGUCAAAAAUUUUGGCUAGGUUCUCAUGAAAUAUCUGAAAGGCUAAAGAACAAUGUAAUUAUGCAUACAUUUAAAAUUUUGAAAGAAACAUCCCAUGUGCUACCUGACAGUGAAAUUGUCCCUGAUGAUAAGGAGAAAGGAUAAGAAGAUGCUGGGGACUGCCCGGUUCAGAGUGGACAUACUCAGGCCUAAUUCCUUAAAUAUUCAACUGAACUAGAUGAUGCUCUAUGAUCUAUAAGCUCUCUGUGCCUUGGUUUCUAAUAGAACAAAAUGUAGGGAGCAUCAAUCUCAUAAAUAUUUCUUUUCUUUCUUCUUUUUUUUUUAUAAACUGAAUGGAGAUUCCUGUGCAGUAGACUAUAUCAUAAAUGCUGGCAUUAGAAGAUUAGAAAAACUCCUGUCUUAUAAACUAUUUUAUAUUGGGUAUUUACUAUUUAUAGCUAACGGAUUUCUAAAUAUAUGAUUUGACCUGCUACAUUUAAACUAAGUAAUAAAAUACGUGUCAAAUAAUCCAAGUUAAUAUCCAAAGUCAUGACAUUAUCAAAGUUACAGUUUUUUCUUAAUCUGUCAAGAAUUUCAGUGCUAAAUUGACCUUAAUUUUUUAAAAAAAUAAUAUUUAGGUAACUUUCUGAUUACUCAAAAUAGUUCAGAACUGUAACUCAUGCUCCUGUGUGUGUGUGAUUUUUCUGCCUGUGCACUCUAUAACUGUGACUUGCUCAAGGGUGCUAAGAAGAGAGAAGCUGAUGUGGCUGAUGUUGGAAGGUGAUGAAUUCAUCCAUGGUAAAAGAAAUAUCCCUUAAGGCAGGGGUCUCCAACCCCUGGACCAUGGACAGAUCAGUGGCAGCAUCAGAUUCUCACAGGAGCAUGAACCCCACGGUGAACUCCACAUGCAAGGGAUGUAGUUGCGUGCUCCCUAUGAGAACCUAAUGCUUGAUGAUCCGAGGUAGAACAGUUUCAUCCCAAAACCAUUCCCCUGCCUCCGUAGAAAUAUUGUCUUCCACGAAACUAGGCCCUGGUGCCAAAAAGGUUGGGGCCUGCUGCCUUAGGGCAUGUCCUGUUACCAGCUUCCAGUUGCCCUUGAAGUGGUCUUCAUUAUCCUGGCUUUCUCUCCUCAGCCUCUUCUUCCUGCUGGACUUCCUACGGGCCUAUCCCUCACUGGCUCUGGGUCCUGGGCCUCUACCCAGGCCUGAGUCCAUGUGCUCAGAAAAGGUGUGGUUUCAUCCUUCUGGAGUACUGGUGUUCAUGUGACUGUCCUUUGAAAGAACAGGGCAAGAGUCAUCUGUUUUCUAUUAAACUUUAAUGACAUUUGAUACACACAAGACACUGAGAGAGGGGCAGAGAAAACUGGAUGUGCAGAUAAAAUGGAGACCAAAGUAGUACAUCAGGAGAGAUGUGAAGAUAUCCCAGAAAAUGAAGUGAUUGCCAUUUUUUUCAUUUCUCUCUGGAUUUCUCAAACAAGCCUGCCAAUAUUGAGUGAAAGCACUUUGGAAAGUAGUAACUUGGAUAUCAGAAUAAAUAAAUAUUAUGGAUUCUCCCCUGCAAGUUUUACCCAGUAUCCCUGAAAGAAAAAGCUUCCUCUCACCUGUUUUGACUGUACGUGUGGCUGUGCUCUCUGGCUUCAGAAUUGCUUCUAUAGGAAGAAAUUAAUCAUCGAUUAUUCUACUAAAAUAGAUGCUUCACAGGACAAAAGGGAUUUUAAUUUGAAGAAAGAGAGGAAGAGAGAAAAUGACAAAGGGAAGAGAACUAACGGGCGGGAAGGGUGAGAGACAAAAGGAAAAGAUAAGAGAGAAGCACAAAAGGUGGUGGCGUCUCACAGGUCAGAAGAAGCUGCGUGAUGGGAGCUGGUCUUGGACAAAGUGGCAGUGAUGAAGAUGGGAGAACAAAAAGAUGGAAAAGUUCCAGAUCAUUGAUGAUGUCAUUGAGCUAAUAAGUUAACCAUCCCUAGAGUCACUCUGCCUCAAAAUUUCUUGCUCUAUGAGAUAAUAAAAAAUCCUUGUUGCUUAGG
rnacentral:lncRNA from 10 species